CCUGGAUUCCUCCUCAGGAUAUCAGACUGGAUCAUAUGCCCUUUCCAGAAGCAACUGCCCUCAAGUGGAACAGAAUUCCCCUUAGGCCAAUGGGGGGACUCUUGAGAAUUUCCUAACCCCAGCUCAUGGUGAGAGAACAGAGCAAGAGAAGACAGAAGCAGAGAACUACAAAAACAACCAGAAAAUGAGUAACGAAAUGCCAAUGACUACAAUUUGAGCCUCAGCCUGUGGGGCCCGGAGAAACGGAGGAUCCAACAGAGCCAAGGUGAGGCCUCUUGGUUCCAAACUGCCACCAGUGCCACUUAAUAUACACACACGCGCGCGCGCGCACACACACAGGUUCACGGAGCCCGAAAACAGGUCUUUGUGAUAAUGGUCUUCAACAGAAAGCCUGGGGCUGGGCUGGGAAAGAGAAACAGAGGGGUCCACAAGUGUGGUUCUUGGCCAGAGAAGUUUGCAAAGGAGCAGACAGUGCAGGUCCGAUCCAGGGGCCACUCGGACCCAUCACAUACUCUAGGUGGGUCCCAGGCCCCUUGGAAAAUUGAAUGAAAAUAAGCAACCUCUCCCUACAAAGAUCCACACACACAGAUUUUUGCACAUUAAUUCAGUGGUUUGUGUCUUCUCCCUUCCCAACAUCUGUGUAUGCUAAUUAAAAACCCCUGCUCUCGGGGCGUCCAGGUGGCUCAGUCAGUUAAGUGUCCAACUCUUCAUCUCGGCUCAGGUCUUGAUCUCAGGGCACGAGUUC